rnacentral:rRNA from 1 species
GAUGAACGCUGACAGAAUGCUUAACACAUGCAAGUCUACUUGAUCCUUCGGGUGAUGGUGGCGGACGGGUGAGUAACGCGUAAAGAACUUGCCCUGCAGUCUGGGACAACAUUUGGAAACGAAUGCUAAUACCGGAUAUGAUGUGAGUUUCGCAUGAAAUUCAUAUGAAAGCUAUAUGCGCUGCAGGAGAGCUUUGCGUCCUAUUAGCUAGUUGGUGAGGUAACGGCUCACCAAGGCGAUGAUAGGUAGCCGGCCUGAGAGGGUGAACGGCCACAAGGGGACUGAGACACGGCCCUUACUCCUACGGGAGGCAGCAGUGGGGAAUAUUGGACAAUGGACCAAAAGUCUGAUCCAGCAAUUCUGUGUGCACGAUGAAGUUUUUCGGAAUGUAAAGUGCUUUCAGUUGGGACGAAGUAAGUGACGGUACCAACAGAAGAAGCGACGGCUAAAUACGUGCCAGCAGCCGCGGUAAUACGUAUGUCGCAAGCGUUAUCCGGAUUUAUUGGGCGUAAAGCGCGUCUAAGCGGUUUGGUAAGUCUGAUGUGAAAAUGCGGGGCUCAACUCCGUAUUGCGUUGGAAACUGCCAAACUAGAGUACUGGAGAGGUGGGCGGAACUACAAGUGUAGAGGUGAAAUUCGUAGAUAUUUGUAGGAAUGCCGAUGGGGAAGCCAGCCCACUGGACAGAUACUGACGCUAAAGCGCGAAAGCGUGGGUAGCAAACAGG